CCUACGGGUGGCUGCAGUGGGGAAUAUUGGACAAUGGGGGCAACCCUGAUCCAGCCAUGCCGCGUGUGUGAAGAAGGCCCUCGGGUUGUAAAGCACUUUCAGUGAGGAAGAACGCCUGGUGGUUAAUACCUAUCAGGAAAGACAUCACUCACAGAAGAAGCACCGGCUAACUCCGUGCCAGCAGCCGCGGUAAUACGGAGGGUGCGAGCGUUAAUCGGAAUUACUGGGCGUAAAGCGCGCGUAGGUGGCUUGAUAAGCCGGUUGUGAAAGCCCCGGGCUCAACCUGGGAACGGCAUCCGGAACUGUCAAGCUAGAGUGCAGGAGAGGAAGGUAGAAUUCCCGGUGUAGCGGUGAAAUGCGUAGAGAUCGGGAGGAAUACCAGUGGCGAAGGCGGCCUUCUGGACUGACACUGACACUGAGGUGCGAAAGCGUGGGUAGCAAACAGGAUUAGAUACCCCAGUAGUC
rnacentral:rRNA from 1 species